rnacentral:misc_RNA from 1 species
GCCUUUGGCAAUAAGCUUGCCCCACUUGUAGGAAGACCCAAUUCUGCACUUUCUCAGGGUUUUCUCCUAGGCAAGUCUAGAGUGGGUCUUGUUCCUGUGGCUGAUUAUGUGUUUUAUCAGUUUGCAUUUGCUGCCAUUACUGUUAUAUUGCUUGCUGGGUCUUUACUUGGGAGGAUGAACAUCUAUGCUUGGAUGCUAUUUGUUCCUUUAUGGCUCACCUUUAGCUACACUAUUGGGGCUUUCAGCAUUUGGGGAGGAGGCUUUCUUGACCGGCAUAUAAUUGAUUAUGCAGGUGGCUAUGUG